UACAGAGGGUGCGAGCGUUGUUCGGAAUUACUGGGCGUAAAGCGUUUGUAGGCGGUGCUGUGAGUCCUAGGUGAAAUCCCCGAGCUCAACUCGGGAACUGCCUAGGAGACCUCAGUACUAGAGUACUGAAGGGGUUACUGGAAUUCCAUGUGUAGCGGUGAAAUGCGUAGAUAUAUGGAGGAACACCUGUGGCGAAGGCGGGUAACUGGUCAGAGACUGACGCUGAGAAACGAAAGCGUGGGGAGCAAACAGG
rnacentral:rRNA from 1 species